GCAUAAAGUAACACAAUGAAAAUACUCAAGUACAAGUAUGUUCUGUGUGGAGUUGCAAUAAUGCUAAUCUUAACCAUAACAUGCAAGAAUACUGAAGAAAAGUAUUUCUAAGUGUUUUUACCCAUUUUAAAGGAUACUGAAACAAAAGUAAAUGUAAUCCAUUACUUCUACCCCUGCAGGUAAUCACAAGCCUUCACUGACGAGUUGGUGGGCCUCAAAGUUGAGCUGAAGGAGAUUAUGUAAGAAGAAAGAUGAUCAUGAGGAGAGAAAACAAACAUACCGUGUCAGCUCCUCUAACCCUGCUCUGCAGAGGGGCUUUCUGCAGCUGGACCAGCCUUCCUCCUCCUCCUCCUCCUCCUCCUCCUCCGUCUGUGUACUGAAGUGAGCUGAAGCAGAGAAAAGGAGGCGUGUGGAGGCUACGAGUUCCUGACUGUUCUCUGCUUUGUUUACUCAGGUCAGAUGACACAGACAGCUGAUAUACCUGCAGUCCUCCCUGCUGGCCUGGAGCCACAGUCCGCUGAAGACUGACAGGACAGUUUGUGCCCAAACCUCGUUCAGUCCCUGCUGCAGGAUCAUUGGCUCCAACACGGAACGACACAUGCAUGUAUUUACUCUAUGAGCUGCUCGUUUGGGGCAGACAGCACCAAUCAACACCAGCUGAACAGAUGUUUUCUGAUUCAACUCGUCGGGUCUGAUCCCGACGGUGGAAAAAAGUUCUUCCAUUUGUUCUAACUGCUGCUAAGGGAUGAGGUCAGUGUCGGGUGUGAAAUUCUCUAAAAGCAGGUGGGUAUGUGGAAGCUGUUCGAGCACCUGAAGACAUCACGCUUCAGUCUGAGAGAGUGGACUGCAGCGACAGUCCUCAUCAGUAAUCUGAGCAUAUUUAUUAUCUACGAUAGUGGGACUGUAGUCACGCAAAACUCACCAAAUCCUAAAGGUUGUCCCCCGAUACGAACCAUUUUCCACAGCUCACCAGAAGCGCUGGUGAACAGGACGUUGUUUGGAAACCUUGAAGAGGACAAAGAAUGAACAGAUUAAUUUGAAUAUGACAGUUUGGUUUAUGGGGCAGACAGAAGCCUGCAGAAGCUUUGACACUUUCAGUUUCUGCAGCAGGAAUCAUGUUAAAGUGAUUUUUACCUGCCUCAAAACCUUUGAGGGAGCCCAUCAGUGUUUGAGUGACAGCUGAACGAGCCAAACAAACCUGUGAUGCUAACCGUUGCUAAGGACCGAGCAGAUGAACCAUGUAGCAUAUGAACUAAGUCUGAUGUUGACAUUUUAUGUUUUUUAGCCUUUCAGUGUGCUUCAGCUGACAAGCUAAUUAGCCUGCUAGCCUGCAAACAGACGCUCCUUUAUGCUUUCUGAAGGAAAUGUAACUAAUAAUUACAA